AGAGUUUGAUCCUGGCUCAGGAUGAACGCUAGCGCCAGGCCUAAUACAUGCAAGGCGAAGGGGCAGCAAUGUCACUGUCGUACGGGUGCGUCACGCGUAUGCAACCUACCUAUCACAGGGGGAUAGCCUUUGGAUACAGGGAUUAAUACCGCAUAAAGCAGGGGCUUGGCAUCAAGAUAUUGCUAAAGAUUUAUCGGUGAUAGAUGGGCAUGCGUCUGAUUAGUUAGAUGGUGAGGUAACGGCUCACCAUGACGAUGAUCAGUAGGGGGCGUCAGAGCGUGGUCCCCCAACAUCUGGCACUGAGAUACGGGCCAUACUCCUAACGGAGGCAGCAGUAGGGAAUAUUGGGCAAUGGAUGCAAGUCUGACCCACCCAUGCCGCGUGCAGGAAGAAGGUCCUCUGGAUUGUAAACUGCUUUUKUCGGGGAAGAAUAGGCAUCUUGCGAGUGUUGUGACGGUACCCUAAGAAUAAGCCACGGCUACUACGUGCCAGCAGCCGCGGUAUACGUAGGUGGCAAGCGUCGUCCGGAUAUAUUGGGUUUAAAGGGUGCGUAGGUGGUUUGCUAAGUCAGUGGUGAAAGCUGGUUGCUCAACAAUCCAGUUGCCAUUGAUACUGUCAGACUKGACAGAAGUGGAGGUCUCAUGGGAUGGAUGGUGUACCGGUGAAAUGCAUAGAUAUCAUCCAGAACGUCGAUUGCGAAGGCAGUGGGCUGUACUUUAUCUGACACUGAGGCACGAAAGCGUGGGGAUCAAACAGGAUUAGAUACCCUGGUAGUCCACACUGUAAACGAUGCGAACUAGCUUUUUGGUUUUUAGAUUGGGAGGCUAACGGGAASCGAUAAGUUCGCCACCUGGGGAGUACGCCGCCAACGGUGAAACUCAAAGGAAUUGACGGG
rnacentral:rRNA from 1 species